UUUAAACCAAUGAGUGCACUUAAUUGUGGCUCAACCUUUUUUUUUUUAAUUUAAACCCCAAAAAUUUGAUUGUAUGACUACCAAACCUUUUGGGUCAUUUCAAUGCAAGUAAAAGUAACAUUUUUGUUGCAUUAUCCCCCCCUAACCUUUUUUAUAAAUACACAAGUGGACUUAAGAAUGUAAAAAUUGAUUGAUUAUUUUGAAAUAA
rnacentral:misc_RNA from 1 species